rnacentral:rRNA from 1 species
GACGAACGCUGGCGGCGUGCUUAACACAUGCAAGUCGAACGGAAAGGCCCUGCUUUUGUGGGGUGCUCGAGUGGCGAACGGGUGCGUAACACGUGAGUAACCUGCCCUUGACUUUGGGAUAACUUCAGGAAACUGGGGCUAAUACCGGAUAGGAGCUCCUGCUGCAUGGUGGGGGUUGGAAAGUUUCGGCGUUUGGGGAUGGACUCGCGGCUUAUCAGCUUGUUGGUGGGGUAGUGGCUUACCAAGGCUUUGACGGGUAGCCGGCCUGAGAGGGUGACCGGCCACAUUGGGACUGAGAUACGGCCCAGACUCCUACGGGAGGCAGCAGUGGGGAAUAUUGCACAAUGGGCGGAAGCCUGAUGCAGCAACGCCGCGUGCGGGAUGACGGCCUUCGGGUUGUAAACCGCUUUCGCCUGUGACGAAGCGUGAGUGACGGUAAUGGGUAAAGAAGCACCGGCUAACUACGUG